GAAUUAAUACUCAGUUUUUCUUCUACUAGAGACGAUGAAAUCAGAAGCCGACAAAGUGUUUAGUAGUAUGGAAUUGUUGGUGGAGGAGGUGACGCGUAUGAUACUCCUACAAUUGGUGGGAGUGGGGUAUUCUCAAUUGCCGGUGGUGGUGGGGGCGGCGGUGGGGGUGAGGAAUAUGAAUACUCAUUAGGUGGAGGAGGAUUUUGAUAAUGAGAAGGUGAUGGUGGGUAAUGCCAAUGAUGCUGUGGGGGUGGGUGGUGGUAGCUUGGUGUGGAUGUUGGCGGCGGUUCUAAUGGUGGUGAGUGGUGAUAGCUUGGUGUAGAUGUUGGUGGCGAUGAUGGUGGUGGGUGGUGAUAGUUUGGUGAGGAGGAUGGCGGCGGUGAUUCUGGAGUGGUGCAUCCAGGCCCAUGUGGAGGAGGUGGACUUGCCGUUGAAUGCUCAUGAGUUGGAGGAGGGGAGUGUGUAUAUCCAUUCUUUGGUGGAGGAGGAGGCGGACUUACCGGUGAAUGCUCAUGAGUUGGAGGAGGAGAGUGUGUAUAGCCAUUCGUUGGUGGAGGAGGCGGCGGUGGUGAUGGAUGGUAUUGAUAGGGAGGGGCAUGAUAAUUAACAGGUGGUGGUGGAGGUGCUUCAUGUUGAUAGGGAGGUGGGUUGUACUCGACAGGUGGCGGUGGCGGUGCUUCAUGUUGAUAGGGAGGUGGGUUGUACGUGGCAGGUGGGGGUGAAUGCUCAGGUGCAGAGGGUGUAUGUUCAACUGGUGGCGGCGGAGGAGUUUGAUGUGUACUUGGCGAAACCUUUUUAGUAGGCGGGGGUGGAGCAUAAGAAUGGGAAUGGCUAGGUGGAGGAGGUGGGAAUGAGUGCUCGACAGGAGGUGAUGGUGGUGGCAGAUGUAUUUUGGGUGAUACCUUUUCAGCAGGCGGUGGCGGUGAAGAUGGUGGGUUGAAUGACGUUGUGGGAGGGGGAGGAG
rnacentral:lncRNA from 1 species